rnacentral:misc_RNA from 1 species
AAACAUCAAACCCACCGGCUUUGCGGUCGGUUCGGUUUGGACUUGGGGGCUCUUUGCUGCCGCUUGCGGUGGCUCCCCUUAAAUGAAUCGGUCGGGCUUUCGUGUGGCUUGUCCCUUGGCGUUGUAUUUCCCUCGUCGCUGGACGGCCCGCGUGUUUGCGGCCCCUCCUUGACUUGCCUUUGGAGUGGUGGUCAAUUGCUUUGUG